rnacentral:rRNA from 1 species
CCUACGGGAGGCAGCAGUGGGGGAUAUUGGACAAUGGGGGAAACCCUGAUCCAGCGACGCCGCGUGAGUGAAGAAGUAUUUCGGUAUGUAAAGCUCUGUCAGCAGGGAAGACAGAAAUGACGGUACCUGACCAAGAAGCCCCGGCUAACUACGUGCCAGCAGCCGCGGUAAUACGUAGGGGGCAAGCGUUAUCCGGAUUUACUGGGUGUAAAGGGUGCGUAGGUGUUUUGACAAGUUGGUAGGGUAACUCCGGAGCUCAACUUCGUAACUACUACCAAAACUGUUGGACUCGAGUGCAGGAGGGGCAACUGGAAUGUCUAGUGUAGCGGUGGAAUGCGUAGAUAUUAGGAAGAACACCGGUGGCGAAGGCGAGUUGCUGGACUGUAACUGACACUGAGGCACGAAAGCGUGGGGAGCAAACAGGAUUAGAUACCCCUGUAGUC